rnacentral:rRNA from 1 species
UGGGGAAUAUUGCACAAUGGAGGGAACUCUGAUGCAGCGACGCCGCGUGAACGAAGAAGGCUUUCGAGUCGUAAAGUUCUUUUAUAUGGGAAGAUAAUGACGGUAUCAUAAGAAAAAGCCCCGGCUAACUACGUGCCAGCAGCCGCGGUAAUACGUAGGGGGCUAGAGUUGUCCGGAAUCAUUGGGCGUAAAGGGUUCGCAGGCGGAAAUGCAAGUCAGGUGUAAAAGGCAGUAGCUUAACUACUGUAAGCAUUUGAAACUGCAUAUCUUGAGAGGAGUAGAGGUAAGUGGAAUUUUUAGUGUAGCGGUGAAAUGCGUGGAUAUUAAAAAGAAUACCGGUGGCGAAGACGACUUACUGGGCUCAUACUGACGCUGAGGAACGAAAGCGUGGGUAGCAAACAGG